AUUGAACGCUGGCGGCCGGCCUAACACAUGCAAGUCGAGCAAGCGGCGGACGGGUGAGUAAUGUCUGGGGACUGCUCGAUAGAGGGGGUUAACUACUGGUAACUGUGGCUAAUACCGCAUACUUUCUGAUACCCCAUAUGGGAUUAGCUAGUAGGUGGGGUAAAGGCUCACCUAGUCGCCGAUCUCUAGCUGGUCUGAGAGGAUGGUGAGCCAGACUGGGACGUGGACAAGUCCCAUACUCGUACGGAGGCAGCAUUGGGAAAUAUUGCACAAUGGGCGCAAGCCUGAUGCAGCCAUGCAGCGUGUAUGACGAAGGCCUUAAGGUUGUAAAGUACUUUGAGCGGGGAGGCGUUACCCGCAGAAGAUGAACCGGCUAACUCUGUGCCAGCAGCCGCGGUAAUAC
rnacentral:rRNA from 1 species